rnacentral:rRNA from 1 species
UACGUAGGGUGCGAGCGUUAAUCGGAAUUACUGGGCGUAAAGCGUGCGCAGGCGGUUCGUUGUGUCGGCGGUGAAAGCCCCGGGCUUAACCUGGGAAUGGCCGUCGAAACUGGCGAACUGGAGUGUGGCAGAGGGGGGUGGAAUUCCGCGUGUAGCAGUGAAAUGCGUAGAGAUGCGGAGGAACACCGAUGGCGAAGGCAGCCCCCUGGGCUAGCACUGACGCUCAGGCACGAAAGCGUGGGGAGCAAACAGG